UAUGAAACCGAUAUCUACUUUAUUGUAAGUAUUUCAGCCAGAUAAAUAAAUAUUCAUGAGGGAUGACUCCAGAUGUGUUAUCAGUAGUUAUAUGGACACCAUUAGAAGGACCUUGGGACACAUUUAAGAGGACCUUGAUACUAACUUGGAAAUAUAUAAUUGUGAUUGCUUGUGCACUGUAUAUGAAACCGAUAUCUACUUUACUGUAAGUAUUACAGCCAGAUAAGUAAAUAUUCAUGAGGGAUGACUCCUGAUGUGUUAUCAGUAGUUAUAUGGACACCAUUAGAAGGACCGUGGGACACUUUUAGGAGGACCUUGUACUAACUUGAAAAUAUAUAAUUUUAUUGCUUGUGCACUGUUUAUGAAACCGAUAUCUACUUUACUGUAAGUAUUACAGCCAGAUAAGUAAAUAUUCAUGAGGGAUGACUGCAGAUGUGUUAUCAGUAGUUACAUGGACACCAUUAGAAGGAUCUUGGGACACAUUUAGGAGGAACUUGAUACUAACUUGGAAAUGUAUUACUGUGAUUGUAAUUAUUGCAGUAGUCACAUAAGUAAAUUUUCACUUAGGAGAAUCAAACUUCAUUAUAUGUAUUUAGAUGAACACCAUUAGAAAUAUAUAAUUGUGAUUGCUUGUGCACUGUUUAUGAAACCGAUAUCUACUUUACUAUAAGUAUUACAGCCAGAUAAGUAAAUAUUCAUGAGGGAUGACUCCAGAUGUGUUAUCAGUAGUUAUAUGGACACCAUUAGAAGGACCGUGGGACACAUUUAGGAGGACCUUCAUACUAACUUGGAAAUAUAUAAUUGUGAUUGCUUGUGCACUGUUUAUGAAACCGAUAUCUACUUUACUGUAAGUAUUACAGCCAGAUAAGUAAAUAUUCAUGAGGGAUGACUCCAGAUGUGUUAUCAGUAGUUAAAUGGACACCAUUAGAAGGACCGUGGGACACAUUUAGGAGGACCUUGAUAUUAACUUAGAAAUAUAUCAUUGUGAUUGUUUGUGCACUGUUUAUGAAACCGAUAGCUACUAAUUUGCAAGUACUACAGCCAAAUAACUAAAGAUUCAUGAAAGAUGAGUCCACAUUGUUAGUAGUAAUUAGAUGGACACCAUGAAAAUGACUGUGUGACACUGUUACUCGGACCUUUAUAUUAACUCAGAAAUAAUUAUAUUAUGAUUUAAAUUGCUUGUACACUUUUUAUGAUACCACUAUAUACUGAACUGUAAGUAUUGCAGUAGUCACAUAAGUAAAGUUUCACUUAGGAGAAUCAAACUUCAUUAUAUGUAUUUAGAUGAACACCAUUGAAAGAGUAUUAGACAUAGUUAUAAGAACCUUUAGAUUAACUUGAAAAUGAUUGGAUUGUUUGUCUACUGUUUUUUUUUUAUUCCAGUUUCUUCUUAACUGUAUUAAAGCUGGAUAAAUAAAGUUAUGUAUAUGAUUAGUCCACUUUUGGUAAUAGUAUGUAGAUAAAUACCAUUUGAAGGACCACAGGACAUUAUUUGAAUGACAGUUAUAUUAUAUUUUUAUGUAGGGUGAGUCCACUUUGUUAGAAGUAUAUAGAUGCAUACCAUAAGAACCAUGGGACAUUUGAACAGAUGUUUGGCCCCAAUACCAGGUUGGAUCUGAGCAAGAUGCCCAUGAAAUUUUCCAGUUAGUGAUGGACAAGCUUCAAAGAGUAUCUGGUGGAAGAGACCUGUAUAGUGACACAUUUGAGGGGGAAAUUGAAAGCACAGUAUGUUGUGGUUAUUGUGGAGCACUGUCUGUAAACAAUGAGGUUUACAAUAACCUGUCAUUGUCUAUAAAAACAACAUCGCAGUGCGACAGUCAAUUUCAGACUUCUUCGCUGAAGAGCAAAUUGAAGGAUACUUCUGUCGAAGUUGCCACAAGUCUGGGACUUUAAAGAAACUGAAUUGGAUUUUAAAAAUACCAACAAAUUUGAUUGUCCACUUGAAAAGAUUUGAUGUCCAAAACUUCAGAUGAAAAAAGAAUUAUAGACACCUUGAUAUUGACGAAGAAAUCCGUCUGAGGUUGUACGUAAAGCCUGAUAUGAAAAAUAUUCUGAAAGAUAAAGGUACUCUUGCUGCAGCCGUUGUACAUUAUGGGUCGCUUUCCAGGGGCCAUUACUAUUGCUUUGCUCGCGCCGGUAUGCAGUGGUACAGGAUUGAUGAUACAAAGGUGACCAAAGUGAAAAUGACGAAGGAAAUUUUGGGAGACGCAUACAUGCUAUAUUACAAGAUGCUUCCCCGUCCAUACAUUAAUUAUCUGCUACAUACAUGUUGAACAUUGUUCAGACAUUUUGUAUAGGGUUCAUUUGUAUUGACGUUUUGCAAAAAAUUCCUACCAAUUUCAAAAAUGGCCUCCUUUUCUUUUUAGUGUAUAAAACAACUUUUCUUCUUCAUGUGUGUUAACUCUUCAUAUAUCAAAAUAACAUUAUUUUAUGUUACUCCUUUUUAUGACCAUUUUUAUGCACCAUUACCAAUAUGUGCACUUAAUCUAGUCACUAUGCAAUGAUUUUAAAAAAUGGACGUAUUAUCUGAACAACCAUAGCGGGCUGAUGAGCAGACGGACAUUGUAUGUGUACUGUCAAUUCAAUAACUCAAAACAGUUUUAAUCUGAUUCUGACAGAACUUGCUGAAAAUGUUUCAGGGCAUGAGAUUUUUGUCAAGCUCGAUUACCAGGCCACCUGAGUUACACACCUUGAUAUAUUGAAAAUGGACUUAAGUAUGUCGUGUCCACCCUCUUACUUGAACAUUUUUUUCAUCGAUCCUCACUAAACUUGGUGAAAAUGUUUGUUGGCAUGAGAUUUGUUUGUUUGUUUUGGGUUUAACGCCGUUUUUCAACAGUAUUUCAGUCAUGUAACGGCGGGCAGUUAACCUAACCAGUGUUCCUGGAAUCUGUA
rnacentral:lncRNA from 1 species